GGAGGGAACCUAAUGGGGACACCGAGCAGAGAACCCCGGACAGCGCCCACUGCUCCUCGAAGGCGUCAAGGGAGCCAGUGGACGCCGCCCAGAGGAACUCCGCCCGGAUGCGUGAACGGACCAUGGAUCGGAAACAAGCCCCACAGUCACCGGAGUCUCCAUUGGCCAACCUCCCCUCCCUGGUAGCGUGGAUGGCCUUCUUCGCCAGGGCGAGGAGGAGGUUGACCAGGAGGUCCCGGGACUUCGUGGGGCCACGGAUAGGGAGUGCAUACAAAAGGAGGUGAGGGGAAAAGUGUAACCAGAAACGUAAGAGGAUGGCUGUGAGGAGCCGGUGUAGGGGCUGCAACCUGGCGCAUUCUAAGUAAACAUGCGCCAGGUUCUCCCUCACGCCGCAGAAGGGGCAGGUGUCCGGGACAGGGGUAAACCGCGCCAAGUACACGCCCGUGCUCACGGCCCCAUGGAGGAGCCGCCAACUGAUAUCCCCAGUGGGCCUUGGGACCAGGGUGGAGUAGAGGCUGGCCCACCGGGGCUCCUCACCCUCCAGAGGUGGCAGGAGGUCCUGCCACUUCGUAUCAGGGUGGGACACGAGGGUGAGGAAGUGAAGGGUGUGGAGCACGAGCGUGUAGAGCUGUUUCCUCGGCGCGGUUUGGAAACGGACCGGCUGCAGGUCGUGCAGCCGGCUUGCGGAGAAGGGACGGGGGGGCCGGUCGGGCCUACGGGGCAGAGGCCCGAUGAAAAGGUCCGGAGGGCUUGGGGUGG